rnacentral:lncRNA from 1 species
UAUAUAUGUAAAUGAUGAUAUAUUGAUGAUGACGAUGCCAUUUAAAACCCAUGGAUGAGCCAUAGUCCUGUAGGAAGAGAUCAACAGCUCCUGCCAAGCCAGUGCUUUCCUCCAGAGUCAUCAGAUAAAGUGUGUGAUCGAUUGCGUGCUUCAGACUUUUGCUGCCAGAGGAGACCUGAAGAGCUUGAAAGUGCUAGACAUGGAAAACAAGGAAAAGGUGCUCCCCUUCAGCAAGUCCCUGAGUUAUGGAAAAUUUCUUUCCUCAAAUGUCAAUUCUUGCUGAUGUCACAGUUAAGUAUAUUUUUGAAAGACUUAACAUUGUUUAUGUAUGUUUUACUCUGAAAAUGUAAAAUGAAGUCCAUAUAAUUGUAAUUUCCCAGUCAUGAUGGACAGCAACACAAUUAUGAAAUUCAGAACUCCCUGGUUUCAAUUUCUCUACCUAAGUCGCUAGGCCAUAUUUUUGCAGUUUUGAAAAAGAAGUACAUUGUGUGGAAGGAAGCUAAUUAUUCUUUCUCAGUUUCAGCAAGAAGUACAUUUAUUACAUGUUCAACAAAGUUGUAUUCACUUUAUCCAAAUGAGAAAUAGUUGGGGGACUUCAUUAUAUUUGGAGAACAUUUCCAUCAAUCAGAGAUUUAGCAGUCACCAAAAAGAAUUCCACAAUUAAUCUUUUAUAUCAUGGGUGUG